ACGACGCUCUUCCGAUCUCUUGGCACUAGGAGCCGAAGAAGGACGUGACAAACGACGAUAUGCCUUGGGUAGCUGUAAGUAAGCGAUGAUCCAGGGAUUUCCGAAUGGGGGAACCCAACAGGUACUACCUGUUACCCGCAUCUGUUAAGGAUGUGAGGAGGAAGACGCAGUGAACUGAAACAUCUAAGUAGCUGCAGGAAGAGAAAGCAAAAGCGAUUGCCUUAGUAGCGGCGAGCGAAACGGCAGGAGGGCAAACCGAAGAGUUUACUCUUCGGGGUUGUAGGACUGCAAUGUGGACUCAAAGAUUAUAGAAGAAUGAUUUGGGAAGAUCAGCCAAAGAGAGUAAUAGCCUCGUAUUUAAAAUAGUCUUUGUACCUAGCAGUAUCCUGAGUACGGCGGGACACGUGAAAUCCCGUCGGAAUCUGGGAGGACCAUCUCCCAACCCUAAAUACUCCCUAGUGACCGAUAGUGAACCAGUACCGUGAGGGAAAGGUGAAAAGCACCCCGGGAGGGGAGUGAAAUAGAACCUGAAACCGUGUGCCUACAACAAGUUCGAGCCCGUUAAUGGGUGAGAGCGUGCCUUUUGUAGAAUGAACCGGCGAGUUACGUUAUGAUGCGAGGUUAAGUUGAAGAGACGGAGCCGUAGGGAAACCGAGUCUGAAUAGGGCGGAUUAGUAUCAUGACGUAGACCCGAAACCAUGUGACCUACCCAUGAGCAGGUUGAAGGUGCGGUAAGACGCACUGGAGGACCGAACCAGGGCACGUUAAAAAGUGCUUGGAUGACUUGUGGGUAGCGGAGAAAUUCCAAACGAACUUGGAGAUAGCUGGUUCUCUCCGAAAUAGCUUUAGGGCUAGCGUCGACAUUAAGAUUCUUGGAGGUAGAGCACUGUUUGGGUGAGGGGUCCAUCCCGGAUUACCAAUCUCAGAUAAACUCCGAAUGCCAAUGAAUUAUGGUCGGCAGUCAGACUGCGAGUGCUAAGAUCCGUAGUCGAAAGGGAAACAGCCCAGACCACCAGCUAAGGUCCCAAAAUAAUUGUUAAGUGGAAAAGGAUGUGGGGUUGCACAGACAACUAGGAUGUUAGCUUAGAAGCAGCUAUUCAUUCAAAGAGUGCGUAAUAGCUCACUAGUCGAGUGACCCUGCGCCGAAAAUGUACCGGGGCUAAAACAAUUUACCGAAGCUGUGGAUACCUUUAUAGGUAUGGUAGGAGAGCGUUCUAUGUGUGAUGAAGGUGUACCGUGAGGAGUGCUGGAACGCAUAGAAGUGAGAAUGCCGGUAUGAGUAGCGAAAGACAGGUGAGAAUCCUGUCCACCGUAAGACUAAGGUUUCCAGGGGAAGGCUCGUCCGCCCUGGGUUAGUCGGGACCUAAGGAGAGACCGAAAGGUGUAUCCGAUGGACAACAGGUUGAUAUUCCUGUACUAGAGUAUGUAGUGAUGGAGGGACGCAGUAGGCUAACUAAAGCAGACGAUUGGAAGUGUCUGUCUAAGCAGUGAGGUGUGAAUUGAGUCAAAUGCUUAGUUCUAUAACAUUGAGCUGUGAUGGGGAGCGAAGUUUAGUAGCGAAGUUAGUGACGUCACACUGCCAAGAAAAGCUUCUAGCGUUUAAACAUACUCUACCCGUACCGCAAACCGACACAGGUAGUCGAGGCGAGUAGCCUCAGGUGAGCGAGAGAACUCUCGUUAAGGAACUCGGCAAAAUGACCCCGUAACUUCGGGAGAAGGGGUGCUGACUUUAAGUCAGCCGCAGUGAAUAGGCCCAAGCAACUGUUUAUCAAAAACACAGCUCUCUGCUAAAUCGUAAGAUGAUGUAUAGGGGGUGACGCCUGCCCGGUGCUGGAAGGUUAAGAGGAGUGCUUAGCGUAAGCGAAGGUAUGAAUUGAAGCCCCAGUAAACGGCGGCCGUAACAAUAACGGUCCUAAGGUAGCGAAAUUCCUUGUCGGGUAAGUUCCGACCUGCACGAAUGGUGUAACCAUGGCCACGCUGUCUCCACCCGAGACUCAGUGAAAUUGAAAUCGCAGUGAAGAUGCUGUGUACCCGCGGCUAGACGGAAAGACCCCGUGAACCUUUACUACAGCUUGGCACUGAACAUUGAACCUACAUGUGUAGGAUAGGUGGGAGACUUUGAAGAUGAGACGCUAGUCUUGUUGGAGUCGUCCUUGAAAUACCACCCUUGUAGUUUUGAUGUUCUAACGUUGGCCCCUGAAUCGGGGUUACGGACAGUGCCUGGUGGGUAGUUUGACUGGGGCGGUCUCCUCC
rnacentral:rRNA from 1 species